rnacentral:misc_RNA from 1 species
AAGUCGUAACAAGGUUUCCGUAGGUGAACCUGCGGAAGGAUCAUUAUCAUAACGUAUCCACGUAUAAACCAAUUAAUAUAAUGUGAAUUGUAAUGUUUUACAGCCUUUGAUAAUUAAUGAUUGCUAUUCAGUUUUUUGUCUGUGAUUAAGGACAAUUUGAAUAGACUUGGAUUAGCAAUAAUCCUAGCAUUAACUAUUGAAGUGUAAUUUUAAUCAAUAUUAACCAAUUGAACCGAUUAACUUAAUUGUUAUUCAUUCUUUUAUUGUGAACUGAAUUGUUUCUUACUCUCAGGGUAAUACCUUUGAGAAGAAAUUAUAUUUACGAAACAUAAAUUAUGAACAACUCUUAGCAACGGAUAUCUUGGUUCUCGUAACGAUGAAGAACGUAGC